GGGCUCAUCGCUUAACUGGCAAAGCAUCGCAUUCGCAUUGCGGAGAUUGCGGGUUCGACUCCCGCUGAGUCCACCA
rnacentral:tRNA from 1 species